rnacentral:rRNA from 1 species
CCUACGGGUGGCUGCAGUGGGGAAUAUUGGACAAUGGGCGAAAGCCUGAUCCAGCCAUGCCGCGUGUGUGAAGAAGGCCUUCGGGUUGUAAAGCACUUUCAGUGGGGAAGAAAGCCUUGGGGCUAAUACCCUCGAGGAAGGACAUCACCCACAGAAGAAGCACCGGCUAACUCCGUGCCAGCAGCCGCGGUAAUACGGGGGGUGCGAGCGUUAAUCGGAAUUACUGGGCGUAAAGCGCGCGUAGGCGGUCUGAUAAGCCGGUUGUGAAAGCCCCGGGCUCAACCUGGGAACGGCAUCCGGAACUGUCAGGCUAGAGUGCAGGAGAGGAAGGUAGAAUUCCCGGUGUAGCGGUGAAAUGCGUAGAGAUCGGGAGGAAUACCAGUGGCGAAGGCGGCCUUCUGGACUGACACUGACGCUGAGGUGCGAAAGCGUGGGUAGCAAACAGGAUUAGAUACCCCGGUAGUC